UACUCAAAUUCUGUCUUUUGUGUUGUUUGUCCAAACAGCUGUAGCUAGUGGGUCAGAAGCACAGGUAACAACCUGGGGCAUGCAAGUGGUAUCUCUUUGUCUCUCUGUCCACCUGUGCUUUAAUGUGGGAAUUUCAUCUUCUAAAAGUUCCUGAGAAGUUCUUUCCUUGGGAACUCGAGCUGGGUUUACAUUUAAGAACUACAGUCCUUCCUCUUGUAAAUUUUUAUUCCAGUGGACUGAUAAUACAAAAGAUGAUUUAAAAUUACAGUGGCCACUUUGGGGCUCCUUAGAACUUCUAAAACUUGUCUUUUUCUGCACUAGAUUUGAGAACAGUAGACCAGACCAAUUGAAUCCUAUCUUUAAGUGUCAAGCACGGCACCUUCCAGCACACCUGCUUAAAAACUAUGGUCCCAGAAGCUGUAAAUAUUUCCAGAGACCAGCAGAGUCUUACUAACCUUAUUGUGUGUCCUGAGAGCUUGGCUUGGUAACUAUCAGGUUGGGGGCCCAAAAUGUGGUUGGACAGAAAUGUGGCUUGCACGCCAUUUGUAGCCAGAUAUGGCUGGGAAGAAAUGGGGGUUAAACUCCAUUUGUGGCUAGGGUUCUACCAAACUGCUGCCAGCCUCAAGGGAAUUACAUUGACCAUUAGAAGGAAUGUCCCAAUCAGAUAAGAUAAUUUAAGAAGUGCAUUUAAAAGCAAAGGCUUCAGGGACCAGCCAUUGGCUGAGUGGUUAGGUUCAUGCUCCACUUUGGCGGCCCAGGGUUUCACAGGUUCAGAUCCUGGGCGUGGACAUGGCACCACUCAUCAAGCCAUGCUGAGGCGGCGUCCUACAUAGCAGAACCAGAAGGACAUUCAACUAGAAUAUACAACUAUGUACCGGGGGACUUUGGGGAGAAGAGGAAGAAGAAAAAAGAAAGCAAAGGCUUCAAAAUUUCAAAAUAGCCUUAUUAAAAGUUUCAUUGCAAAAAAUUAAUGAAAGUUAAGAUAGAAGAGGUACCUAAAAGAAAAGACUGUACAAAAGUCCGUAAGUUAAUGGCUUUACAGACAUCCACAUGUCUACCUUCAAAGAAAGGCCCCUAUAUGGGCCCCUCUCAGAGUUAACAAGACACAGAGAUUUUCUGGUAAACUGCUACAUUAUUCCCUUAAACAGCCAAAGGGAAACUAAAAUUUAAAAUUAAUGCAGUUGUUUAAUACUGCCAGAAAUACUUACUAUUUGUCCUGGCUGAAACCUGACAAGACAUUUGAAAGGAUUUAGUAACUUAUGAUCAGAAAUUUGGCCAAAUUGGAAGCUGAUAUUCAAUUGGAAGCAGAUAUUCAGCUGAUAGGAAUUUUUUCUCGGCUUUCCCACCACUAAGCUAAAACAAAACUAUGCACCCAGAGGGAAAGAAACAAAUUAAGGAUAAUGUAAUUGGAUGGGUUAACAGCUAACCUCCUCUAUUUAUCUCAAAAGGCUUGUAACCUCUCCAGAAACUCUUAUCUAAACCAUCCCUGAUUCCUAAGACUGAAGCAGAAAAAAAAAGAAAAGAAGCUUUUAGAGUCCUGAGCUAACAUCUGCUGCCAAUCCUUCUCUUUUUGCUGAGGAAGACUGGCCCUGAGCUAACAUCCGUGCCCAUCUUUCUCCACUUUAUAUGUGGGACGCCUACCACAUGGCUUGCCAAGUGGUGCCAUGUCUGCACCUGGGAUCCAAACUGGCAAACCCUGGGCCACCAAAGAGGAAUGUGUGAACUUAACUGCUGCGCCACCGGGCUGGCCCUGUAGUGAGAUCUUUAACCAUGCCACUUUAAGUCUUUUGUCAUUUACAGACAGUUAUUGUUUUACUCUGAUACUUUUGGAAAUGUGUCUCAUCUUCAGAGAGCUUCAUGGAAAGGACUCUGACCUUCUAGAAUUCAGGUUUCUAGUAAAAUUUCAAAUUAUAAAACUGAACUGGGUAAGAAAUUACAGUACUCCUACAGAGACUCAUGGCUUCAUAAAAUUGCUAACAAAAAGGUCAAAGAACAAAUAAAUAUUAAUUACAUGGGACUACAUGAACCAGGGAGGAUGCUCUAAUGUUUUUUUUUUCCAGAUUUAAAGAAAUCUUUUCUCUUAAGCUGUCACAACGUGGUAGGAUAUAUCUUUGUGAACAAAGAUGAAACAUUUACUUUUUCUCCCUACCUCAUCCCUCCAGAAUUCAGAAACUGUCAGUGAGUAUUCUUAUUUUCCCUUUAUAAAUAAUCAGACCAAGUUUUAAAUUUAAACAAAUGUUUUACUGUUAUUAUUUUUGGUAAAAAAUGAGGGUAAUUGUAGAGAGAAAAAUUAUGUUUGCACCUUUGUAGAUAUUAGAUUCUAGUCCUGUUAAUUGUCUUUGAGGUUUUGUUAUAUACCUGUUGACUGGAUUCCUCUGACCUAAGGUAUUGUCUUUGGUCUUGCCAACUAUUCCCAGUACCCUCUUUGGAAAACAUACUCACUCCACAUAAGAUAGUCACCAGCAGAUAAAUGUCUGUUGACAUACAACCUUCUGCUGAUCCCUCGUUGUCUUAUGCUAGUAUGACCAGUUACUGUAAGUUUCUACUGUCUUCUACUCAAGGCUUUCAUCAACAGGUAAAAGAAACUUUCCUGGAUUCCAAUUUAAAGCAUCCUAUUGGUCAGUCUAGAGCCUGGUGACUAGGUAUUCUGGAAGCAUCAUCAGAGGAAGACAGCCCUCAAGCCUUGUUGAAAAGGACCUUACCAAGUGCUCCUGACCACUGAUACUACUGCAGAACUAGAAGGCAUUGAACCUUGGAGAUACAUCUCACAGCUAAAGAAGGCUACACCCAACAUUUGGUCCUGUGUGAAUGCUGGAGACCUCCAAAUCAAACUGACCAGAAAGAGAAGCAGCCAACAUCUGAAACAGAUAGCUUUUCCAAGAUGGCUGCACCAAGCCUGUACACCUUUUACUCACUGUUGCACCUUACCUUAUUUUCUGUCUGUCUGUCUUGGAAAGACAAUACUCUUAUCCACAUCUCCCAAUCUAUUGCCAAAAGGGUAAAUCUUUCUGACUGUUGGGUUUGUCAUCAGAAGCCUCAUUCUGUACAUGAAUCUAGAGAAUCUUUUAGCACAUUUAAUUACCAAUCUCUCCACCAUUCCUCUCCUAAUUCCUUAUGCUGUCUAGAACUCCUUGCCUAACCAAUUGAACCUCCAGAAAUUGAACUGGUAACAUUGUAACUAUUGUAAAUGCCUCUUGUUGAACUUGGGUAAACACCUCCAGCAAGGUAAAGACAGAACUAGACAGAAUUUGAGCACAAGCUGAAAGAUUCGAUGCAGUGCCCACUGACAUCCCGUAGUUCUUUGAUCUGUUUAGCUGGCUACCCUCAAGAACUGUCUCUUGGUUCAGGUCUAUUCUGCAAUUUGGACUUAGCAUUUUGUUUAUUAUUAUAGAAAUUCUCACUUUUGUAAAACGUCUCUUCUGCAUGGCUUGAUGUUAUAAAAACACCACUUGGAUAAUGGUCGCUCAGUGUUUUGAAAUGAUUGCUAAAGCUUACAAGCCUUCACCUGAGAAACUUCAAGGAACUAAAGACAAUGUCUGCCCUUGAAAGAACUUGAUGGUAAGGCUUUUCUCUGCUCUGGCACUCCUGUUGCUCAAAUGUGGCCUAGGAUCUUAAGGAAAACACUUUCCCUCCUACAUGGGACAUGAAAUACUAGGAAUGAGCCUUUCUGGUUAUGAGAGACCAACAGUGCUUUGAUGACUGAUCAGCAAUACUUUCCACGAAAGGUCUUGAUCAAAAGGGGAAAAAUGUCAAAAUUGACUUUAGUGGAGCCAUUUUAAAAUGGAGUUGGAGCUGCCUCUCCAGAGAAACUGCCCUGCCGUUUUGAACCUUGGACUGGGCCAAACCUUUGGACUGGGCCAAAAUGGCCACUGUUUUACAAGCAAUUGUUUGAGGAGUCAGUAGGAGAAUGGACAUCCUGAUCACAAAGGCUGAGGAUUGCAGACUUUCUGAAGAUAGAAUCAAUACUCAAUCAAUGCUUAGCCAAGACUAACUUCUGCCUCCAACUCCAGUUAAAAUUCUUUGUAACAUAAACCUCCCUUCUUUGCCUUUAAAAGCCCCUGACUUUUACUUCCUAGCUGGAUGCUAUCUGUGCUCCCCAAAAUGAAAUUCUUUGAUCCCAAAUAAAUGCUUUGCCUCUUAAUCUGGUUUCU
rnacentral:lncRNA from 1 species